rnacentral:rRNA from 1 species
GACGAACGCUGGCGGCGUGCCUAAUACAUGCAAGUAGGACGCAGUUGCGAAUGGGUGAGUAACGCGUAGGUAACUACCUAUUAGAGGGGGAUAACUAUUGGACACGAUAGCUAAUACCGCAUACUAGUAGAUGGACCUGCGUUGUAUUAGCUAGUAGGUAGGGUAAUGGCCUACCUAGGCAACGAUAGAUAGCCGCGCGGAGAGGGUGAUCGGCCCGACCGGGACUGAGGGACGGGCGAGACUCCUCCGGGGGGCAGCAGAAGGGAAACUUCGGGAAUGGGGGGAACCCUGACCGGGCAACGCCGCGUGAGUGAAGAAGGUUUUCGAAUCGUUAAGCUCUGUUGUUAAGGAAGCGGUACUUAACCAGAAAGGGACGGCUAACUACGUGCCAGCAGCCGCGGUAAUAC